rnacentral:rRNA from 1 species
CAGCCGCCGCGGGAAUACAGAGGGUGCGAGCGUUAAUCGGAUUUACUGGGCGUAAAGCGUGCGUAGGCGGCUUCUUAAGUCGGAUGUGAAAUCCCUGAGCUUAACUUAGGAAUUGCAUUCGAUACUGGGAAGCUAGAGUAUGGGAGAGGAUGGUAGAAUUCCAGGUGUAGCGGUGAAAUGCGUAGAGAUCUGGAGGAAUACUGAUGGCGAAGGCAGCCAUCUGGCCUAAUACUGACGCUGAGGUACGAAAGCAUGGGGAGCAAACAGGAUUAGAUACCCGAGUAGUCCCUGUCUCUUAUAC